rnacentral:rRNA from 1 species
CUGACGCUCAUGGACGAAAGCCUGGGGAGCGAACGGGAUUAGAUACCCCGGUAGUCCUGGCCGUAAACGAUGAACACUAGGUGUCGGGGGAAUCGACCCCC